rnacentral:rRNA from 1 species
CAGCCGUAAACUAUGCGCGUUAGGUGUACUGGUGACCACGAGUCACCGGGGUGCCGAAGGGAAACCGUGAAACGUGCCGCCUGGGAAGUACGGUCGCAAGGCUGAAACUUAAAGGAAUUGGCGGGGGAGCACCGCAACGGGAGGAGCGUGCGGUUUAAUUGGAUUCAACACCGUAAAACUCACCAGGGAAGACUGUUACAUGAAAGCCGAGAUGAAGACUCUGCUAGAUUUUCAGAGAGGAGGUGCAUGGCGUCAGUGACU